GAUGAACGCUGGCGGCGUGCCUAAUACAUGCAAGUCGAGCGAACAGACGAGGAGCUUGCUCCUCUGACGUUAGCGGCGGACGGGUGAGUAACACGUGGAUAACCUACCUAUAAGACUGGGAUAACUUCGGGAAACCGGAGCUAAUACCGGAUAAUAUAUUGAACCGCAUGGUUCAAUAGUGAAAGACGGUUUUGCUGUCACUUAUAGAUGGAUCCGCGCCGCAUUAGCUAGUUGGUAAGGUAACGGCUUACCAAGGCAACGAUGCGUAGCCGAACUGAGAGGGUGAUCGGCCACACUGGAACUGAGACACGGUCCAGACUCCUACGAGAGGCAGCAGUAGGGAAUCUUCCGCAAUGGGCGAAAGCCUGACGGAGCAACGCCGCGUGAGUGAUGAAGGUCUUCGGAUCGUAAAACUCUGUUAUUAGGGAAGAACAAAUGUGUAAGUAACUAUGCACGUCUUGACGGUACCUAAUCAGAAAGCCACGGCUAACUACGUG
rnacentral:rRNA from 1 species